GCAUAUCAAUAAGCGGAGGAAAAGAAACCAACAGGGAUUGCCUCAGUAACGGCGAGUGAAGCGGCAACAGCUCAAAUUUGAAAUCUGGCCUCUUUGGGGUCCGAGUUGUAAUUUGUAGAGGAUGUUUCGGGCACCGCUCCGGUUUAAAUUUCUUGGAACAGAAUGUCAAAGAGGGUGAGAACCCCGUCUUGGACCGGCAGUAGGGCCCAUGUGAAACUCCUUCGACGAGUCGAGUUGUUUGGGAAUGCAGCUCAAAAUGGGUGGUAAAUUUCAUCUAAAGCUAAAUAUUGGCCAGAGACCGAUAGCGCACAAGUAGAGUGAUCGAAAGAUGAAAAGCACUUUGAAAAGAGAGUUAAACAGUACGUGAAAUUGUUGAAAGGGAAGCGCUUGCAACCAGACUUGCGCGCGGCGGUUCCCCCUUCCUUUUGGUUGGGUUAUUCCGCCGUGUCCAGGCCAACAUCGGUUCUGGGGGUCGGUUAAAGGCCUGGGGAAUGUAUCUACCCUUCGGGCGUAGACUUAUAGCCCCGGGUGUCAUGCGACCUCCCGGGACCGAGGAACGCGCUUCGGCUCGGAUGUUGGCGUAAUGGUUGUCAGCGACCCGUCUUGAAACACGGACCAAGGAGUCUAACAUCUAUGCGAGUGUUUGGGUGUCAAACCCGGAACGCGGAAUGAAAGUGAACGGAGGUAGGAAGCUUCGGCUGCACUAUCGACCGAUCCUGAUGUCUUCGGAUGGAUUUGAGUAAGAGCAUAGCUGUUGGGACCCGAAAGAUGGUGAACUAUGCCUGAAUAGGGUGAAGCCAGAGGAAACUCUGGUGGAGGCUCGCAGCGGUUCUGACGUGCAAAUCGAUCGUCAAAUUGGGUAUAGGGGCGAAAGACUAAUCGACCAUCUGUAGCUGGUUCCUGCC
rnacentral:rRNA from 1 species